rnacentral:misc_RNA from 1 species
AAGUCGUAACAAGGUCUCCGUAGGUGAACCUGCGGAGGGAUCAUUACACAACAAAAAUAUGAGGGUGUGGUUUGCUGGCAACAGCGUCCGCCCCAAGUAUUUUUCACCCAUGUCUUUUGCGCACUUUUUGUUUCCUGGGCGAGUUCGCUCGCCACCAGGACCCAACCAUAAACCUUUUUUUUAUGCAGUUGCAAUCAGCGUCAGUAUAAUAAUUCAAUUUAUUAAAACUUUCAACAACGGAUCUCUUGGUUCUG